GAUGAACGCUGGCGGCGUGCCUAAUACAUGCAAGUCGAGCGAAUGGAUUGAGAGCUUGCUCUUAUGAAGUUAGCGGCGGACGGGUGAGUAACACGUGGGUAACCUGCCCAUAAGACUGGGAUAACUCCGGGAAACCGGGGCUAAUACCGGAUAACAUUUUGAACCGCAUGGUUCGAAAUUGAAAGGCGGCUUCGGCUGUCACUUAUGGAUGGACCCGCGUCGCAUUAGCUAGUUGGUGAGGUAACGGCUCACCGAGGCAACGAUGCGUAGCCGACCUGAGAGGGUGAUCGGCCACACUGGGACUGGAACACGGCCCAGACUCCUACGGGAGGCAGCAGUAGGGAAUCUUCCGCAAUGGACGAAAGUCUGACGGAGCAACGCCGCGUGAGUGAUGAAGGCUUUCGGGUCGUAAAACUCUGUUGUUAGGGAAGAACAAGUGCUAGUUGAAUAAGCUGGCACCUUGACGGUACCUAACCAGAAAGCCACGGCUAACUACGUGCCAGCAGCCGCGGUAA
rnacentral:rRNA from 1 species